CCCUUAGAUGUUCUGGGCCGCACGCGUGCUACACUGAGUGGAUCAGCGGGUCAGGUUGCGCGAAAGUGUUUCCUAAUCUUGAAAUCCGCUCGUGAUGGGGAUUGACGGUUGCAAUUUUCUGUCAUGAACGAGGAAUACCUUGUAAGCGCGGGUCAUCAUCCCGCGCUGAAUACGUCCCUGCCCUUUGUACACACCGCCCGUCGCUCCUACCGAUUGAGUGGUCCGGUGAGGCUUUGGGAUCUGAGCAAAAAGAGCGUUUCGCUCGUUUGGCUCGGAAAACUCAGUCGAACCUUAUCAUUUAGAGGAAGGAGAAGUCGUAACA
rnacentral:rRNA from 1 species